rnacentral:misc_RNA from 1 species
GAUGAAGAACGUAGCGAAAUGCGAUACGUAAUGUGAAUUGCAGAAUUCAGUGAAUCAUCGAAUCUUUGAACGCAUAUUGCGCUCUUUGGUAUUCCGAAGAGCAUGCUUGUUUGAGUAUCAGUAAACACCUCAAAGCUUUUGGAUUUUUUAAUCGAAAAGCUUUGGACUUGAGCAAUCCCAACACCAAUCUUUUUGAGAUCGGUGGCGGGUUGCUUGAAAUGCAGGUGCAGCUGGACAUUCUCCUGAGCUAAAAGCAUAUUCAUUUAGUCCCGUCAAACGGAUUAUUACUUUUGCUGCAGCUAACAUAAAGGGAGUUUGACCGUAUUGGCUGACUGAUGCAGGAUUUCACAAGGGUCGGCAACGAUUCUUGUUAAACUCGAUCUCAAAUCAAGUAAGACUACCCGCUGAACUUAAGAAUAUCAAUAAGCGGAGGA